AUGGAGGUGAAGAAGAGGGCGGCCGCCAUUGCCGCACUGUGCGUGCUCCUCGUCAUCUCAGUGCCGCCCCAGCAGCGGGCGGCCGCCAAGACCUUCUGCGAGUGCUACCAGCCCUGCCACGACGGGUGCAGCCGCAGCGGAUGGAUCUGCAAAGUCGACUGUGUCGAGAAAUGCAAGGAAGAAGGCUACAUGGAGGAGAGCCGCGCCGUCUGCCUCUGGGUCUGCAGCACCGACUCCCCCUGCGGCCCGUCGGCGGCGCCCACCGAAGGCGCUGCGGAUUGUAAGAUCGAGUGCCACAAGAGGUGGGGCCAGGUUUAA
rnacentral:rRNA from 1 species